rnacentral:pre_miRNA from 1 species
GUUAUACUUCCUCCGUUCCAAAAUUUUUGUCUUAGAUUUGUGUAGAUAUGAAUGUAUCUAGUCACAUUUUAGUAUUUAGAUACAUCUAUUUUUAGACAAAUCUAAGAUAAGAAUUUUAAGACGGUGGGAGUAAGUG